rnacentral:lncRNA from 1 species
GGAUGGCAAAGGGAAGGCGAGACCUCAGCGCUGCGGGGAGCGGUCAGCACCCCUGGGUGAGGCGAGGCACCGGCCUCCCUCCUCUCCCUGGCAGACACCUUGUCCUCCCGCAGCGGGUGAGCACGUUUCCUCCGGGGAGCCCUGCUGUCCGGCGGCCCCCGCCCUGCCACUUUGUUUUCUUCCUGAGUUGAGAAAGUGAACGGCCUUGGGUACCCUGCCGGAGGCACUCGCGGUCACCGAGCAGCCCAGGAGCACGGCGGCCUGGGACAGGCUCCCCACCACCGUUAUAAACAGGGAACCAAAGCUGCACCAGGAACGGACCCAUCACAAGGUGAGCUCCCAUGCUCACAUGUCAUUUUGAUUCAAGAGACUUUCCUCCUGCUGUGGCUCUGGCUUCUGUCCUUCAGUUCACGGCCUCCCCAGCAGCUCUGGGGGACACCAGGACAGCGGCCAAGGCAGGCACAGGGGGGUUCCUCCAGCCACACUGUGGCAAAAUCCUUCAGCAUCGAGACACUUAAACCAUCAGAGGUGAUUUCAGCUGUCGGAUGUGACAGCAGCACACCGCCUGCAUCCUCGGCUGAGCUUUUGGCAGAGGAAGGCCCUGCUGCUCCACACCUACAGCAGGAGCCGUGCAGUCACCAUGAGAGCAGGGCAGCACCCCAGAGUUCACAGCCACCCCUCCAUCCAGGGCAGGAGCCACUACCAGCAAAAAGGAACCACAAAAAGCAGGCGUUUGGGUACAGGGGCUGCUGCCCAGGGUGUGUAAGAGCAAGGAGCCAGCCCCAAGAUGCUGGUCCUGGUGACCGAGGCAUUUGCAGCCUCCUUAACCGAUGGCUCCUGCAGCGAGGACAGGCAAGGACAGGGGACUACUGCUGGGCAUUGACCUCCAGCAGGAAGGGAAAAGCCAAUUUCCACCCACAGCAGCAGCAGCACGCUGCGUGUGGCGGUGCCACGAGCAUCACUGCCCUGGAGUAACCAGAGCAGAGGCCAGCACAGGGAGAACAGAGCAGCCUGCCUGCCCCCUACACAAGGCCACGCUGUGCUAGCAUCAGGCAGGGCAGGUUUAAAAACCCGAAGAAAGGUUAAGCUCCCAAG